GGGCUAUGAUGAUUAACCAUUCUGCGAUGGCAGGGUCCAUCCACCGUCUGAUUUAUUGAUGUCAGCAAGUGCCGUCUGAGCUC